GUGAAUCAUCAAAUUUUUGAACGCAAAUUGCACUUCCUGGCAUUCCGGAGAGUAUGCCUGUUUGAGGGUCAGUUUAAAUAAAAAUAGGUGUUGUUGUUGCCUUUCGUGGUGAUGCACCGGUUUUGGGUUGUCUAGCCUUCGGUUAAGUGAGCUAAAAUUUUGCCUGAUUUUUUCAGAUUGUAUUUAACUGAUUUUUUUUUUUUUUGCGUUUUUGCAUA
rnacentral:misc_RNA from 1 species